GACGUAGGGCGCGAGCGUUGUCCGGAUUUAUUGGGCGUAAAGAGCUCGUAGGCGGUUUGUCGCGUCUGCCGUGAAAGUCCGGGGCUCAACUCCGGAUCUGCGGUGGGUACGGGCAGACUAGAGUGAUGUAGGGGAGACUGGAAUUCCUGGUAUAGCGGUGAAAUGCGCAGAUAUCAGGAGGAACACCGAUGGCGAAGGCAGGUCUCUGGGCAUUAACUGACGCUGAGGAGCGAAAGCAUGGGGAGCGAACAGG
rnacentral:rRNA from 1 species